UUCUAGGAAAAUAUUUGGUUAAUAAUUAUAGUUACUAUAAGAUUAACAUGGUUUAUUUUUAGGCGGUUACUUUCCCAACUUGGCCGUGAGCGUCAAUUUUAAAGCAUGAUGCUCUUCUGAGUACCUGCUAUGCCUAUACAGUCUGUAUAUUGGAGGGAUAGGACCUGCAAGAUCAAGGCACGGAAAAUACGCUGAGAAAAAGAUUAAGUUAUAAUUAUAAUUUAGGCCCGGUUUAGACGCCGUGCUUUUCAUGAGCCGAACUUAGGGGCGGACCAUUAGAAAAGUGAUGGGGUAGGGCAAAAGCAAAAAUAAAAUUCGAGCAGAGAAAAUAGAAAGAAAAAAAAUUCGUGCACCAGAAAUGUUUGAAAAAAAAAUUCGUGUAGAGACUUUUCAAUAGGGAAAAUUACAGGGCCUUACAGGGCCUGUCCCCCAAAUUUGGAAAAUAAGCGUUUUAAUCGUGUUUUAAGAAGUUUUUUGGGGGAAAAUGUGUUUUAAACCUUAAUUAAACUGAGUGUUAGUCCGAAAAAAAUUUUUUUGACCUUUUUAUUUGUUUGUCCUGAAAAAUUUUUUCCAUUCCGGAAAAAAUGUUCCCCGCC